ACAGAGGGUGCGAGCGUUAAUCGGAUUUACUGGGCGUAAAGCGCACGCAGGCGGUUAUGUAAGACAGAUGUGAAAGCCCCGGGCUCAACCUGGGAACUGCCUUUGUGACUGCAUGGCUAGAGUACGGUAGAGGGGGAUGGAAUUCCGCGUGUAGCAGUGAAAUGCGUAGAUAUGCGGAGGAACACCGAUGGCGAAGGCAAUCCCCUGGACCUGUACUGACGCUCAUGCACGAAAGCGUGGGGAGCAAACAG
rnacentral:rRNA from 1 species